UGUAAAAGAGGGGAUCCACCCUAUAAAUGGGGUUACAACCCACCGCCUACAUUCAGCCACUUUUAC
rnacentral:tRNA from 1 species